AGCGAACGCUGGCGGCAGGCCUAACACAUGCAAGUCGAGCGCCCAGCAAUGGGAGCGGCAGACGGGAGAGUAACACGUGGGAACGUACCCUUCAGUACGGAACAACCAAGGGAAACUUUGGCUAAUACCGUAUACGUCCGUAAGGAGAAAGAUUUAUCGCUGAAGGAUCGGCCCGCGUCUGAUUAGCUAGUUGGUGGGGUAAUGGCCCACCAAGGCGACGAUCAGUAGGUGGUCUGAGAGGAUGAUCAGCCUCACUGGGACUGGGACACGGCCCAGAAUCCUACGGGAGGCAGCAGUGGGGAAUAUUGGACAAUGGGGGAAACCCUGAUCCAGCCAUGCCGCGUGGAUGGUGACGGCCUUAGGGUUGUAAAGUCCUUUCGACGGGGAAGAUAAUGACGGUACCCGUAGAAGAAGCCCCGGCUAACUUCGUGCCAGCCGCCGCAGUAACAC
rnacentral:rRNA from 1 species